rnacentral:lncRNA from 1 species
GAUAGAUUCUGGUCUAUGAGGUUUAAAUCUGUAAUUUGAAAAUAAUAUCUCCAGCAAGAAAUCAAUAAAUAACACAAGCUAAAGGGAUGCUCUGGGUUCCACAGGAAACCAAGGCCUCUGCAAAGAGGGGAGAGGCAACCCUGCUCUUAAGAGUGAAGGUUCAGAGCUGUAUGACACGAAUACCACCUGUCAGUAACUGUGAUGGAAAAUAUUAGCUUACAUUCUUCAGUUCCCUGGUGACUGACCAUAUUAGGCCUGAGCAACAUAUCUUACCACACUUGCUAAUCUGUGGAUUUCUAAAAGUGGAUAAUUAGUCCAGACAGCUAGAGCUCAAAAUGAAACGAGCUUAAGGUUUUCAGGAAUUACAGCAGGUGCCUGACGGGUCUGCCUUUCAGGCCUGACCUAUUUCUGCCCGUGCCUGGGGGAGGGCUCAUCUCCUCAGACUGAUGGAUCUUACUGGCACGUUCACCACCCAUUUAUGCCCAAACUUAGGACUGCUAACCUGGUAACCUUCCACUCUGAGAUAAGGCAGGAAAGUGGUGGCUGAAGCCUGAGUUCUUCUUCCAAUCACUGCAUCCUAAGCAUAUGGAUAGAUUCAGGCUUAUGAGAACGUGAUGAGGGUAAGAACAGAGACUCAGCAAGGCUGCUAGAACUGCCCAGAGUCACUCAGCCAGUCAGCAGCAGAGCUGAGCUAGAGUGCCCAGAGCCUGACACCGUCCAGGGUUUUAACCAUUAGCCCACACUAUCUCCAUGCGGGUGAUUGCUCUCUGCAGCUCUCCUCUUGGGGUAAGGAGAAUGAAGGAACCCAGUUAUUUUCUCCAGUAGAGUUCAUGGCUUCUCCCUUCCCAUCCCUCCCCACCUUCUGUCUGGUUUGAGUUUACUGUCAAAACACGCCCAGUCAAAUUACUUGUCUGCAGACAUUUUUGCUGGCCUUAGUGUAUCCACAAGAGAGCUGUUAAUGAUUACCCUUCCUGCCCGUACUUAGCUCAUCCUCAGAAGGGAACUGCUCAUUAUCAUUCUCUGACUGCAGGCUGGGCCGUCUGGAAACAGUCAGUCAGGAUUCUGGCGGUGGUAGAGCUGGAGCCCCGGCAUUUUCUGCCGUUGGAUCAUGUCGCUACCAAAAGUGACUCUCGGCUCUUGGGAGGCUGUGGGCCUGUGGUCCCUCAGGCCAGGCUUCUUGGAGCUUGUGAGAGGCUCAUCCAGCAACUCCAGCAGCACCCAGUCUCCUGCAGGAGGAAGCAGCUUCUCCAGGGCCUGGCUCUUGCAACCUGUUGUGACCAGCAGGGCCCAGCUUCCCCCAGAACUCCCUUGAAGAGCCUAGGAGUGAAAUGCCCCCCUCAAGGAGUCUCCUGUGACAAUUUCCCAGGGCAAUCCCCAAGAAAGUUUUGAGAGACAAUAUCUAGCUGUGUCCUCCAGCUGGAGUACAGCAAUCUUAGCUCACUGCAGCCUCAAACUCUUGAGCUCAAAUGAUCCUCCUGUCUCAGCCUCCUGAGUAGCUGGUACUAUAGGUGCGUAACCACAAUACCCAAUUUCAUUAUGGUUUCAAUUUGCAUUUCCCUAAUGACUAAUGAGGUUGUGAUGGCAGCCGUGGCCCAUCUGGAGGGGCCACUGUGAAGACGCCAGCUGCAGCAAGGGAGGUGCGGCUGCAGUGGUGUGCUCUGUGGGGCCAGCAGGAACUGGGAACAGGUGGGAGCCCCACCCCUUACCGAGCUAACACAGGAGUCCCAGGCUCCUGGGC